rnacentral:rRNA from 1 species
GACGAACGCUGGCGGCGUGCUUAACACAUGCAAGUCGAACGGAAAGGCCCUGCUUGCAGGGUACUCGAGUGGCGAACGGGUGAGUAACACGUGGGUGAUCUGCCCUGCACUUCGGGAUAAGCCUGGGAAACUGGGUCUAAUACCGGAUAUGACCUUCCAUGUAGUGUGGGGGGUGGAAAGAUUUAUCGGUGUGGGAUGAGCCCGCGGCCUAUCAGCUUGUUGGUGGGGUAAUGGCCUACCAAGGCGUCGACGGGUAGCCGGCCUGAGAGGGUGGACGGCCACAUUGGGACUGAGAUACGGCCCAGACUCCUACGGGAGGCAGCAGUGGGGAAUAUUGCACAAUGGGCGGGAGCCUUAUGCAGCGACGCCGCGUGGGGGAUGACGGCCUUCGGGUUGUAAACCUCUUUCGACAGGGACGAAGCUUCGGUGACGGUACCUGUAGAAGAAGCACCGGCUAACUACGUG